rnacentral:rRNA from 1 species
UACAGAGGGGGCAAGCGUUGUUCGGAAUUACUGGGCGUAAAGGGCGCGUAGGCGGCCUUCUAAGUCGAACGUGAAAUCCCCGGGCUCAACCCGGGAACUGCGUCCGAUACUGGAAGGCUUGAAUCCGGGAGAGGGAUGCGGAAUUCCAGGUGUAGCGGUGAAAUGCGUAGAUAUCAGGAGGAACACCGGUGGCGAAGGCGGGUCUCUGGGCAGUAACUGACGCUGAGAAGCGAAAGCGUGGGGAGCGAACAGG